rnacentral:rRNA from 1 species
AGUGAACGCUGGCGGUAGGCCUAACACAUGCAAGUCGAACGGCAGCACAGAGGAGCUUGCUCCUUGGGUGGCAAGUGGCGGACGGGUGAGGAAUACAUCGGAAUCUACUCUGUCGUGGGGGAUAACGUAGGGAAACUUACGCUAAUACCGCAUACGACCUACGGGUGAAAGCUGGGGAUCUUCGGACCUUGCGCGAUUGAAUGAGCAGAUGUCGGAUUAGCGAGUUGGCGGGGUAAAGGCCCACCAAGGCGACGCUCCGUAGCUGGUCUGAGAGGAUGAUCAGCCACACUGGAACUGAGACACGGUCCAGACUCCUACGGGAGGCAGCAGUGGGGAAUAUUGGACAAUGGGCGCAAGCCUGAUCCAGCCAUACCGCGUGGGUGAAGAAGGCCUUCGGGUUGUAAAGCCCUUUUGUUGGGAAAGUAAUCCAGCUGGCUAAUACCCGGUUGGGAUGACGGUACCCAAAGAAUAAGCACCGGCUAACUUCGUGCCAGCAGCCGCCGUAA